rnacentral:rRNA from 1 species
GAUGAACGCUGGCGGCGUGCCUAAUACAUGCAAGUCGAGCGAACAGACGAGGAGCUUGCUCCUCUGACGUUAGCGGCGGACGGGUGAGUAACACGUGGAUAACCUACCUAUAAGACUGGGAUAACUUCGGGAAACCGGAGCUAAUACCGGAUAAUAUAUUGAACCGCAUGGUUCAAUAGUGAAAGACGGUUUUGCUGUCACUUAUAGAUGGAUCCGCGCCGCAUUAGCUAGUUGGUAAGGUAACGGCUUACCAAGGCAACGAUGCGUAGCCGACCUGAGAGGGUGAUCGGCCACACUGAAACUGAGACACGGUCCAGACUCCUACGGGAGGCAGCAGUAGGGAAUCUUCCGCAAUGGGCGAAAGCCUGACGGAGCAACGCCGCGUGAGUGAUGAAGGUCUUCGGAUCGUAAAACUCUGUUAUUAGGGAAAAACAAAUGUGUAAGUAACUAUGCACGUCUUGACGGUACCUAAUCAGAAAGCCACGGCUAACUACGUG